rnacentral:lncRNA from 1 species
UAAACAUCCGGAAUUGCGAUGUGAAAAACCGAAAAAUAAAUUUAAACUCGUCAUAAAAUCAGUGACGUUCCAUUAUGUGUAAUUCCACCUACGAAUUAAUAAAAAUACGAAGAAACAUCACUAUAUACACGGGUUAUUCCCGAUUCUCAACCUCCUGUUGGGUGAAGGUUAAGAAUUAUUGUACUCCGCCACAACCUUGGCACGACUCCAGUAUACAUUUACCUGUCUGUCCAGGUAGGGGGAGGUGUACAACAGUUUUGAAUUGCCUAUACACAUUAGCUAUAAGGAAUUUCCCGUCUGGAGUUAUGGAUUUUCCGGUAUAGAUUAUAAAGAUUGAUUG